rnacentral:rRNA from 1 species
ACGCGAGCUUGGUUCAGAACGUCGUGAGACAGUUCGGUCCCUAUCCGUCGCAGGCGUAGGAAAUUUGAGAAGACCUGUCCUUAGUACGAGAGGACCGGGAUGGACGUACCUCUGGUGUACCAGUUGUUCUGCCAAGGGCAUGGCUGGGUAGCUAUGUACGGAAUGGAUAAGCGCUGAAAGCAUCUAAGCGCGAAGCCAACUUCAAGAUAAGAUUUCCCACCGCAAGGGUAAGACCCCAGAAAGACUAUCUGGUUGAUAGGUCGAAGGUGUAAGUGCAGCAAUGUAUUUAGCUUAUCGAUACUAAUAGGUCGAGGACUUGACCAAUAA